GGGAUUUAACUGCAUUCUAAACUAUUCUGUCAAUGCAUCCAUGAAAUAACAAGCAGAGCCUGUCUAUUGGACUGGAACUUCUGGAGACAAUCCACAGAACUGUGAGACAUCUGGGAUCUUUGGGUUCUCCUGGGAAUGUGAGCAGCCUGAGGAAGACUUGCUUUUGAGACAAACAGACGGUUCCUCCAUCUCUGGAACCAUGCCAAGAGGCUGUGCCUAA
rnacentral:lncRNA from 1 species